UGGGGUGUGGGAAAGGAAGCUAAGCAUGGAAUUUGAAAGCUAGAAUUGCGAGGUAAUAGAUCUGAGAGUUUCAAAAGUGGGGAGGGUUUCCAGCAUUUCAGAGGCGUCUACUUUGUUUGUUUUUAGUCUAGACCAAGAGUGCAAAGACUUAGAAAAUAUGCUUUAGGCUAGAAGACACCCUGGGGUUGUUUUCUUUCUCCACGUAGAGCCCUGAGUAAUAAAGCACAUGCCAGUGCCUACACUCAAAGCUGACUAAUGGCUACAGAUGCUGGCUCUUUCUCCUCACACCCAACCAGUGGCCUAAGAUAACUGCCACUAAUUUCUUAGGUCCUCAUGACAUCUCCCACACUAUAGUUGGGACUCAUAUAGCUUCACCUGUGUUCAGCUCAGUUGAUUGAAGGGCUCAUAAUGUUCUAACGAGAUUCAGGAGGGAACAUAGACUCCACUUCAAAUGAAGAAGCGGUAAAGCUUUUGGAAAAGUUUGUGGGACCAGAAAUAGUUACAGUAAUGUUUUGAAAUUCAAGUAGGAUAAGGGCAGCAUAGUGUAGUCAUAAAAAUAGAUAUAAAAUACUAUAAUAAAAAUGCUAUCAUCAGUAUUCCAAGUGUCUCAAUAUUUCUCACCUGAAUUCAACUAACCAUCUUCUAGUUGUUCUUGCUCCCAGCCCCAAAUGCACAUUCCAUGUGGCUUUCUAAACAGCAAGUUUGAACAUAAGACUGUCCUAUUCUAAAAGUUUUAAUGGCUUCUAAUAGCCUUCAGGUUAAAAUGUAUCCUCUCUCCGUAUAGGUUCUGAUAAAGCCAUUACCUAAGUUCAAAUCCUGUCUUUGUUACUUAGCAACUUAGGAAAGUUUCUUAACCUCUUUAGUCCUCAAAUUCCUCAUCAUGUGCUAAAAAUAGUCAUUUUUACAUAGAUUUGUUGCCAAGAUUCAAUGACGUAGUUCCCUUAAAGAGCCUAGCCCUUUGCGCAGUUUCCGGUAACUUUUGACUAUUAUUACAAUAUUUCACCAACUUAUUGUUAUUAGCUGCAGAAGCCCUUCCUCAACCAGGUUCAUUCUCCCUCUCCAGUUGUGUUGCUGUUGGCCCAUCAAUAAUCACAUCUCUUGUGUGUGAAGUACUGACUUUGUGCCACUUCCUUCUGUGAACACAUGUAUUGAUAUUAUUUUAUCUUUAACAACUCUGAAAGAUCAGUACUAGUAUCCUCAUUUUACAGAUAAGAAAACUGAGACUAGAGUUAAGCAACUUGACCAAAGUAACUGAGCUCAUAAAUGGCACAGCCCAUAAUUUAAGUCAAAGCCUAUCAUACUCCAGAUCUAUUCUUAUGACUGCACUAUGCUGCCUUUAUCCUACUUGAGUUUCAAUACCUUACUGCAACAGUAUUUCUGGUCCCACAAGCUUUUCCUAAACCUUACCACUCCUCCAUUUGAAGUGGAAUCUAUGUUGCCUCCUGAAUCUCGUUAGAACAUUGUGAUCCCUUCAAUCAACUGAGUUGAACACAGGUGAGGCUAUAUGAGUCCCAAGGCUAGAUCAUCUAAGGCGGUAUUGCUUCUAUCUGACUCCCUCUUUUGGAAGGUUUCCCUUGGAGACCUAAGCUGCAUGUAAGGAGUUCUGCCACCUGAAGAUGCCAUGCUUGAGAGACCAUGUGAAGAGAUCACAUAAAAAUAGAGAUGCAGGAAGAGCCCCAGCUGCCCAAGCAUCCUUUAUUUUUGGGGUGUUACAGUGCCACAGACAUUAUUUCUGAACUCCCUCAUCCCCAAAACCACACAGACAGCAUCCUCACUUGGACAAAUGAGCUCUGCUCUUGACAACUAGGUGUCAGGAUGCCCCAAUGUCAGUGAUUGCCUUUCUGCGUCUCAGGUGAGUGGAUUCUGUUUAGGAGGUUCUAUGGCAACUCCUCCAGCCAGUUUUGGAGGUUGUUUUAUAUCACAACUUUGAUUAGUAAGAUGAACA